rnacentral:rRNA from 1 species
UGAAUACGAGAUGCUACGGCGUCGAAGCAGUGUAUGUCAGACUUCCAAGAAAAGCUCGCAAUGUCAUAAAUAAAGAAUGCCUGUACCAUAACCGACACAGGUGGGUAGGUAGAGUAUACUAAGGGGCGCGAGAUAACUCUCUCUAAGGAACUCGGCAAAAUAACUCCGUAACUUCGGGAGAAGGAGUGCCUUCUUUAAGAAGGUUGCAAUAACAAGAUCCAAGCAACUGUUUAUCAAAAACACAGGUCUCCGCUAAGUCGUAAGACGAUGUAUUGGGGCUGACGCCUGCCCAGUGCCAGAAGGUUAAAGAAGUUGGUUAGCUUUUGCGAAGCUGAUGACUGAAGCCCUGGUGAACGGCGGCCGUAACAAUAACGGUCCUAAGGUAGCGAAAUUCCUUGUCGGGUAAGUUCCGACCCGCACGAAAGGCGUAAUGAUUUGGAUACUGUCUCGGAGAGGGACUCGGUGAAAUAGACUUGUCUGUGAAGAUGCGGACUACCUGCACCAGGACAGAAAGACCCUAUGAAGCUUUACUGUAACUUGAAAUUGAAAUUGGACUUUAUUUGCGCAGUAUAGGUGGAAGGCGUUGAAAGUAAUCUUGCGGGAUUAGUGGAGCCAUCAGUGAGAUACCACUCCUAUAAUGUUAGAUUUCUAACUUUGGAUCAUGAUCUGGUCAAAGAACAGUUUCAGGCGGGCAGUUUGACUGGGGCGGUCGCCUCCCAAAUGGUAACGGAGGCGUACAAAGGUUUCCUCUGAACGGGUAGAAAUCGUAUCUAGAGUGUAAAGGCAUAAGGAAGCUUGACUGUGAGACCUACAAGUCGAGCAGGGACGAAAGUCGGUCUUAGUGAUCUGACGGUGCUGAGUGGAAAGGCCGUCACUCAACGGAUAAAAGUUACUCUAGGAUAACAGGCUGAUCUCCCCCAAGAGUUCACAUCGACGGGGAGGUUUGGCACCUCGAUGUCGGCUCAUCGCAUCCUGGGGCGGUAGUACGUCCCAAGGGUUGGGCUGUUCGCCCAUGAAAGCGGUACGCGAGCUGGGUUCAGAACGUCGUGAGACAGUUCGGUCCAUAUCCGGUGUAGGCGUUAGAAUAUUGAGAGGAGCCUUCUUUAGUACGAGAGGACCGAGAAGGACAUACCUCUGGUGUACCAGUUAUCGUGCCAACGGUAAACGCUGGGUAGCUAUGUAUGGAGAGGAUAACCGCUGAAAGCAUCUAAGUGGGAAGCCCACCUCAAGAUGAGUAUUCUCAC